rnacentral:lncRNA from 1 species
GAAUUCUUUCAUUAUUUUAAUUACCAAUUACUUCCUUGUCUCAGUGUAUUUUUACCCACUAGAAUCACAAGUGACAUCAUUCCUUAUUUUUAUCCUGCUUUGCUUUGAUUUCUUACAUAGCCUUGAUGUAAAUCAUUUAAAAAUCCCAUUUAAACCACAGACCAGCAGAGCCUGGCAGCCUUUGGAUUUAGUGCUGUUGAACCAUACAGGAAA